rnacentral:misc_RNA from 1 species
GAUGAAGAACGCAGCGAACUGCGAUAAGUAAUGUGAAUUGCAGAAUUCAGUGAAUCAUCGAAUCUUUGAACGCACAUUGCGCCCCCUGGUAUUCCGGGGGGCAUGCCUGUCCGAGCGUCAUUACAACCCUCAAGCUCAGCUUGGUGUUGGGCCCCGCCGCCCCGGCGGGCCCUAAAGUCAGUGGCGGUGCCGUCCGGCUCCGAGCGUAGUAAUUCUUCUCGCUCUGGAGGUCCGGUCGUGUGCUCGCCAGCAACCCCCAAUUUUUUUCAGGUUGACCUCGGAUCAGGUAGGGAUACCCGCUGAACUUAAGCAUAUCAAUAAGCGGAGGA